GGGGCUUGCGACACAUUAGUUAGUUGGCAGGGUAAAGGCCUACCAAGACUAUGAUGUGUAGCUGGACUGAGAGGUUGAACAGCCACAUUGGGACUGAGACACGGCCCAAACUCCUACGGGAGGCAGCAGUAGGGAAUUUUCGGCAAUGGAGGAAACUCUGACCGAGCAACGCCGCGUGAACGAUGAAGUACCUCGGUAUGUAAAGUUCUUUUAUUAAGGAAGAAAAAAGAGUGGAAAAACUCCCUUGACGGUACUUAAUGAAUAAGCCCCGGCUAAUUAUGUGCCAGCAGCCGCGGUAAUACAUAAGGGGCGAGCGUUAUCCGGAAUUAUUGGGCGUAAAGGGUGCGUAGGCGGUUUAAUAAGUCUAUAGUUUAAUUUCAGUGCUUAACGCUGUUAUGCUAUAGAAACUGUUUUACUAGAGUGAGAUAGAGGCAAGCGGAAUUCCAUGUGUAGCGGUAAAAUGCGUAAAUAUAUGGAGGAACACCAGAGGCGUAGGCGGCUUGCUGGGUCUUUACUGACGCUGAGGCACGAAAGCGUGGGGAGCAAACAGGAUUAGAUACCCUGGUAGUCCACGCUGUAAACGAUGAGUACUAAGUGUCGGGUAAAACCGGUAUUGAAGUUAACACAUUAAGUACUCCGCCUGAGUAGUACGUACGCAAGUAUGAAACUUAAAGGAAUUGACGGGACUCCGCACAAGCGGUGGAUCAUGUUGUUUAAUUCGAAGAUACACGAAAAACCUUACCAGGUCUUGACAUUUUCUUGCGAAGUUAUAGAAAUAUAAUGGAGGUUAUCAGGAAGACAGGUGGUGCAUGGUUGUCGUCAGCUCGUGUCGUGAGAUGUUAGGUUAAGUCCUAAAACGAGCGCAACCCUUGUCGUUAAUUGCCAGCAUGUAAUGAUGGGGACUUUAACGAGACUGCCAAUGAAAAAUUGGAGGAAGGUGGGGAUUACGUCAAAUCAUCAUGCCCUUUAUGAUCUGGGCUACAAACGUGAUACAAUGGUUGAUACAAAGAGUAGC
rnacentral:rRNA from 1 species